rnacentral:rRNA from 1 species
AUACGGAGGGUGCGAGCGUUGUUCGGAAUUACUGGGCGUAAAGGGCGCGCAGGCGGGCGGGAAAGUCUCUCGUGAAAGCCCACGGCUCAACCGUGGAAUUGCGGGGGAUACUUCUCGUCUUGAGUCCGGGAGAGGAGUGUGGAAUUCCCAGUGUAGCGGUGAAAUGCGUAGAUAUUGGGAGGAACACCGGUGGCGAAGGCGGCACUCUGGACCAGAUCUGACACUCAUCCGCGAAAGCGUGGGGAGCAAACAGGAUUAGAAACCCCGGUAGUCC